CUUCCUUGGUGGGUUGUUGUCCCACCAG
rnacentral:snRNA from 1 species